rnacentral:rRNA from 1 species
UGAGGAAUAUUGGUCAAUGGGGGAAACCCUGAACCAGCGACGCCGCGUGUGGGAUGAAGGGGCUUUGCCUCGUAAACCACUGUCGGAUGGGAAGAAAAGACCCUUAGGGGGUCCGGGACUGUACCAUCAAAGGAAGGAUCGGCUAACUACGUGCCAGCAGCCGCGGUAAUACGUAGGAUCCAAGCGUUGUCCGGAAUUACUGGGUGUAAAGGGUGCGCAGGCGGAUUUGUGCGUCAGAGGUUAAAUCCCACCGCUUAACGGUGGAGGUGCCUUUGAUACUGAAAGCCUUGAGUGCGGGAGAGGGUAAUGGAAUAUCUGGUGUAGCAGUGAAAUGCGUAGAUAUCAGAUAGAACACCAAUGGCGAAGGCAGUUACCUGGUCCGUCACUGACGCUAAGGCACGAAAGUGUGGGGAGCAAACAGG